UACAAAAGUUUAUUAUUUUUAGAAUGUAUACAUAUACGGAUGAAUGAGACGGAGGUAGUACUAUACGAGUCUGGAUCUUCUGUCUCUUCUUUGUGUCUAUGCGUGUCCCUUCUUUCUUAUUGGUCAAAUUUUUUACUUUUCGCGUGAUCUCUUCUCUUCAAAAUUUUAUUAAUUUUAAUUGAGAUAUAUUUUAAAUAUUUUUGCACUAAAAAGGGAAAGUCCGAAGCCCAUGGAUCAGUCUCUCUCGGAAACGUUAAACAUCUGAGAAAUUAACAUAAUGGGUCAUCACUAACUGCAAAUAUUGAGUUCCGUUGAUCUUUAUUCUCAGAUCCCAGUUAUGUUUUGGUUGGAUUUUUUUUUUGUUGGGGGGUGUUCUAAAGCUGCGUUUUUUAAGAGUUUUGAGGUCACGGCACCGGAAGAUUCACCUGAUGACCGAUGAUCGGAGCCCCAAACAUUUGAGAGCCUAAAAUCUUCUUCAGACAUCAUUCCAACAGGUCCCAGAAAAUCAUCAUUCAGCAGGCCUAAUGUGUCUGGUCGAGCAUAUUGAUUCAUUCGCAGACAGGUUCUAAGGAAGUUGAUAAAUUCAUUGGUGAAUCUUCCGGCAAGCCCAUGGAUUGGCAUUUGGGCUUCCGAGUUUUCCAGUAAUUGUUCCCAAGUCUCUGGUAAUAUUCCUAUUUCGUCGAUAUAAUUUGCAACAUGUAAGAAUUGGUUCCUGUUCAAAACUGAAAUCUUCCCAUAAGCUAAUUCCAAAACCACAACACCGAUACUCCAUACAUCAUGCCUGUUGGCAUGAUACUGGUUCCAGAAGUUAAGUUGAGCUUCGAUAUCUCCUUCUGCAGCUGCGGCCUCCAACAGUCCACGAGGUGGCUGAGCCGCCAGUGCCUCCUCCAAUUCAUGAGGUAGCUGAGCCUCCUCAUUGUCAACAAUAUGGGAGCCCUUCCCCAGUCACUUAUACGGUUUAUAGGCAAGAAGUGAUUUGCAGCAAAGCCAGCAUGCCAGUCUACUUCAAAUGCGCUGCAUGUAGCAGCCACUUUGAUGUGUUGAGGGCUACAUACUAAAUGACCAGCAGAGAGUUCUGUGUGGUUCAAACUGAAAUGAUGGAGGUCCCUUAUAGCACUUACCAUAUUAGAAGCAGCCCUGCGAAUUUGGGGAACUGUGAAACCUUGGCUAAACCUCUGGUCAAGGAGCAUGGCCGUUCUCAAGGACAUAUUCUCUUGAAGUGCAAAUGCUAUGCAGAUGUAUUGCACAUUGUUAGAGUUAAUAUAAAAGCGUUCAUCGAAGAGCAAAAGGGUGGUGUCUAUCCCUGGGUCUAUGAAACAAUCCAGCAUCUCAGUAAUGUCCUUAUUGACAUUUUCCCAGAUACCCUCUUCCUCCCAAAUGGGUUGGCCUCCGGCAACAGUACGGGAAAGAGUCUUUAACGCUCUGUUUGGGACCCUAAUAUUGUUGACAAAACAUUCUGACUCGUACACUGGAUAUUGAAAAUCUGGCCCCCAACAACCGAUCCUGUUUAUAACGCGGUAAGUAGAAUUGCCAAAUCAUAUUUCGCUCCCCAAGAAGAAAUUAUCCAUUAGAGAGAUGGAGAUUCCUGCUUGUACACAUAGAGGAAAACAAAAAUGGGGGGGGAUUGCGACAAGAUCAUACUUUUUGAGUUCAGUUGUAUUUUUAUCUUAAAUUCAACUUUAAAGGAGACUUUUUGUUUAAUCCAGGACUUGGGGAAUGCCAUAAUCCGUGUGUGUUGAUAAAUAAACAUAGACUAGUAUAGAUGCGUACCUAGAGUAAUGUCGGUUUCUUGAUUCCAGUAUCUAUGAUCUUCUGAUCUUUCUGAGAAAAGAAGAGGGCCUUGUCAGGAUUAUGUCUAGUGUGUAUAAAUAUAUACAUACAGAAGUUUGAAUUAUACCUUCAGUGCAGAUUGGUUCUUGGUUUAAUGAGAUGUCGGUUUCUUGAUUCCAGCAUCUAUGAUCUUCUGAUCUUUCUGAGAAAAGAAGAGGGCCUUGUGAUCUUGUGAUUAACUUCUUGAUGAAAUCUUCAAAGAAUUGUGGCUCUCUGGGAUAAAAAAGAGAGAGAGCGUGUCAUUACAAUGUGGUAUAACAAAUUCUACAUACAAGUAUCUAGUUACAUACCUUACUGUUUCUUAGUUUGAAAGUUUGAAGAUGGAGGAGGUUUUCUUGAUCAAAGAAACUGGGAUAAUUAGCAGAGGUGUGACGUGAUACUGAUGUGUGUGUAGGAGUAUAGAGGGAAAGUUUCUUUUAAGUAUUUAUAAUACUUUAAGUACUUAACCGAACAUUAAAGAUGUAGUACUCCAGCAGGCUAGUUUAUUGAUUCCUUUCCCUUGCA